CAUUCAGAGCCCUAUGAUUUAUCAGGGUGAUGGACUGCCUUUUGCAUAAUGAGCCUGCGAGUUGUGGUGUCUGGCAAGGUUAAGUCAAGUACGAAGCCGUAGCGAAAGCGAGUCUUAAUAGGGCGAAUUAGUCAGAUGCUGCAGACCCGAAACGAAGUGAUCUAUCCAUGAGCAGGUUGAAGCUGGUGUAAGAGCCAGUGGAGGACCGAACCCGCAGGCGUUGAAAAGUCUUGGGAUGACUUGUGGAUAGGGGUGAAAGGCCAAUCAAACUUCGUGAUAGCUGGUUCUCUCCGAAAUAUAUUUAGGUAUAGCCUUGUGUUGUAGCAUAUGGGGGUAGAGCACUGAAUGGGCUAGGGCUGCUUACCGCGGUACCAAACCCUAUCAAACUAUGAAUACUAUAUGUGGAAUCACAGGAGUCAGGCGGUGGGUGAUAAAAUCAAUCGUCGAGAGGGGAACAACCCAGACUAACAGCUAAGGUCCCUAAGUUACAUCUAAGUGGAAAACGAUGUGGAGUUACUGUGACAACCAGGAGGUUGGCUUAGAAGCAGCCAUCCUUUAAAGAAAGCGUAACAGCUCACUGGUCUAGUGAUUCUGCGCGGAAAAUAUAACGGGGCUAAGAUGUACACCGAAGCUUUAGAUUCAAUUUUUAAUUGAGUGGUAGGAGAGCGUUCUAUUCAGCGUAGAAGAUGUACCGGUAAGGAGCGUUGGAGCGGAUAGAAGUGAGCAUGCAGGCAUGAGUAGCGAUAAUUGAGGUGAGAAUCCUCAACGCCGAAAACCCAAGGUUUCCUACGCGAUGCUCGUCAUCGUAGGGUUAGUCGGGACCUAAGUCGAGUCCGAAAGGGGUAGACGAUGGCAAAUUGAUUAAUAUUUCAAUACCAACAUAUAAGCGCGAUGUGGGGACGCAUAGAGUUAAUCGAGGUCACUGAUGGAAUAGUGGCUCGAAGGACGUAGGCUGUUAAGUAGGCAAAUCCGCUUAACAUUAGGCCGAGAUCUUACAGGCUCUUGACACUCUUCGGAGGAGAUGGAGAAUCGAUGAUACUGUCGUGCCAAGAAAAGCCACUAAGUUUAUUAUAUGUUGCCCGUACCGUAAACCGACACAGGUGGGUGGGAUGAGUAUUCUAAGGCGCGU
rnacentral:rRNA from 1 species